GCCACCUCUCGGGGAGGGGACACUGCCCGAGUGGAAUCCCCAUGUGCCACCCCAGGUGGACAGGGUUUGUUUGUGAAAAGGGUGGACCUUGGUUCUAGAGCUUUCGGGGCCAGCGUUUCCAGCCUCAGCGCUGCGACCUGGGGGCAGCCCCGCUGCUCGGCUGCCUGGCACCGCCGGCCUGAGCAGCUCCCUGGCCUCAUGCUGGCCCCAACCUGUGAAAACCAAAAGUGUCUCCCGACAGUCCAGUGUCCCCAGGAGGGGGCUCACCAGUCGCCUGGUGUGUUCAGGACUGUGUUAAUUAUAGCACAGAAAGUCCCACCUCCCGGGACCCUGUCCUGGGACAGAUGUGGCAGGGCUGGCCCCCUCCCCCCAGCAGCAUCCGCCUGCCGGGAGCCGUGUACCAGCUCCCGGUACACGUGGUGUCGGGUGGUACCGCUCAGCUCAGCAGUGCAGGGAGGCCAGGAGCUAUAUCCCACCCAGGCUCACACCCGGGACAUCAGCGGGCACCUCUGGUGGGCUGCGGGCAUGCAGGGUUUCAGAGGCGCCGCUGGGCAGGGGGAGUGGAGCCUCCUAGCAGCUGUUGUCUUCUCCUCCCAGGGCACAGCAGCUGCUCAUCACCCUCCUGCAGGACCUGGCUCAGCAGAGCAGCUCCGCCCGCAAGGGCUGCCAGCGAGGACUGCGUGCGGUGCAGCUCCGCCAUGGCCGGACCUGGACGACGGAAAGGGCGGCGGCGGAGGGCUGUCAGUGCAGGGCUCCCGGCUCCGAGGCCUUCCGCUUCCACCCAUCCUCCCCACGGACAGGCAGGGAAGGAGAGGACCCCCGGCGAAGACCGUGACACCAGGGUGACACCAGCCCGGCCCUGGUGUCCUGUGACCGGCGGGAGGGACACCCACGGCACCAGGGGCGGAGCAAAGACCUGGCUUCUCUGGCUCCUGGGACACGGAUCUGCCUCUGACACACAGGCUGCUGCCCGGCCCGACCAGCACUGGCUUAGGAGGUGGGUCUAGACCACUAUCCUCCGCAGGGGGGCGCAGGAGGGAGCGAACCCCUGGACUCGCCUGUGUCCGCAGCACAGAGGUGCGUAGGGAGACAGCCGUGCGCCUGUGGCGGUAACGUCUCCGGGCAGCACCGCCUGAGGGAACGUGAGGCUGGACGAGCUGGCACCCAGAGGCAGUGCCCGGGGCCCACAUCCAUCAGUGGGAAGCGGGCUGGGGCUGGGCUGCGCACAGAAAGCCACUGCUUGUCCUCGGCAGGGUGGACCCUGUCGCUUUCAGCAGCCCAGGACCCCGGCACUGAGACACCUGGGCGCAGCGCUGUAAACGCGCAUUAGAGACGCCAUAAAACUAGGACGGCUCUUGCGGGAGCGCAGUCAAGGCCACACUCCUCGGCUGGUGUGUGUAUGGGGGGGUGUGGGGGGUGAGAUGGCCAGGCCUCUGAGGGCUGAGCUGCAGGGCCUGGGCAGAUCCUGGCUGGGUCCCAGCUCCAGUCUGUGUGGAUCUAGUGCCUGAAGCAGUCACAACCCCGUCAGUUCCCCCCGCCCCCCCUUUGUGCUGGGAGGACCUCAGGGGGCUCCUCCCACUCCCACCGGGAGCACCCCCGCUCGGCUCUGGAACCACCGUGGCCACACUGCGUUCCCCGGGCACAAGGCCUUUAGACUAUUAAUCCUUGUAACUCAUUCUAAAAUGCUGUGAGCUGUGGACUGUCUCAAGCAUAGAAAACAGCCUGCAAAGGGCAGUGCCCGCGCCUCCUUCCUGGACUUCAGAAUCCCGCGCUCAGUCCCUCUGCCCCAUCCCCCCCUCCUGCCCGGACACACAUAGCACUUGGCGUGACUAUGGAACAGCCACCUCGCACCCAGCGUCUCCACCGUGAACUCUCACUGUAGACAACAGCAUGGCUGGACAGGGCACCGCCCUCAGCAGGGGUUAGGGCAGUGAUGGCGAACCUAUGACGCGUGUCAGAGGUGACACGAGAACUCAACCAGAUUUUUCUUUGUUAAAUGGCAUUUAAAUAUGUAAAAUAAAUAUCAAAAAUAUAAGUCUGGCUACAUA